AUUGAACGCUGGCGGCAUGCUUUACACAUGCAAGUCGAACGGCAGCGGGUCCUUCGGGAUGCCGGCGAGUGGCGAACGGGUGAGUAAUGCAUCGGAACGUGCCCAAUCGUGGGGGAUAACUAUCCGAAAGGAUGGCUAAUACCGCAUACGCCCUGAGGGGGAAAGUGGGGGACCGCAAGGCCUCACGCGAAUGGAGCGGCCGGUGUCGCAAUAGCUAGUUGGUGGGGUAAAGGCUCACCAAGGCGACGAGCUGUAGCGGGUCUGAGAGGAUGAUCCGCCGCUCUGGGACUGAGACACGGCCCGGACUCCGACGGGGGGCAGCAGUGGGGAAUGUUGGACAAUGGGGGCAACCCUGAUCCAGCCAUGCCGCGUGCGGGAAGAAGGCCUUCGGGUUGUAAACUGCUUUUGUACGGAACGAAAAGGUCUCUCUUAAUACGGGGGGCUCAUGACGGUACCGUAAGAAUAAGCACCGGCUAACUACGUGCCAGCCGCCGCAGUAACAC
rnacentral:rRNA from 1 species